GACGAACGCUGGCGGCGUGCUUAACACAUGCAAGUCGAACGGAAAGGCCCUGCUUUUGUGGUGUGCUCGAGUGGCGAACGGGUGAGUAACACGUGAGUAACCUGCCCUUGACUUUGGGAUAACUUCAGGAAACUGGGGCUAAUACCGGAUAGGAGCUCCUGCUGCAUGGUGGGGGUUGGAAAGUUUCGGCGGUUGGGGAUGGACUCGCGGCUUAUCAGCUUGUUGGUGGGGUAGUGGCUUACCAAGGCUUUGAUGGGUAGCCGGCCUGAGAGGGUGACCGGCCACAUUGGGACUGGGAUACGGCCCAGACUCCUACGGGAGGCAGCAGUGGGGAAUAUUGCACAAUGGGCGGAAGCCUGAUGCAGCAACGCCGCGUGCGGGAUGACGGCCUUCGGGUUGUAAACCGCUUUCGCCUGUGACGAAGCGUGAGUGACGGUAAUGGGUAAAGAAGCACCGGCUAACUACGUG
rnacentral:rRNA from 1 species